rnacentral:rRNA from 1 species
GACGAACGCUGGCGGCGUGCUUAACACAUGCAAGUCGAGCGGUAAGGCCCUUUCGGGGGUACACGAGCGGCGAACGGGUGAGUAACACGUGGGUGACCUGCCCUUAGCUCUGGGAUAAGCCUGGGAAACUGGGUCUAAUACCGGAUAUGACUCCAUGACGCAUGUUGUGGGGUGGAAAGCCUUGUGCGGCUAGGGAUGGGCCUGCGGCCUAUCAGCUUGUUGGUGGGGUGAUGGCCUACCAAGGCGACGACGGGUAGCCGGCCUGAGAGGGCGACCGGCCACACUGGGACUGAGACACGGCCCAGACUCCUACGGGAGGCAGCAGUGGGGAACCUUGCGCAAUGGGCGAAAGCCUGACGCAGCGACGCCGCGUGGGGA